UCAUUAAUAAUAGAUGGAGCGCUGGUC
rnacentral:sRNA from 1 species